CGGAGCCCGAAUCAGUGGUCGCUGACAAAAAAGCCCACGGCGGCGGACAGUCAUCGCAGGGAACGUCCAACAGGCAAGAUACUUCCAAGCGUACCACCAUGUUAAUGGGAAGCACUACUAGCGAGCCACCUAAAACAAUGAGCAGCAUGGGGACAGAGUCAGAGACGUCAACAUUGGAGACCACAAUUUCCACAGUGGAAACAACUACGACUACGCCCUCUAUGACAGAGAUGCCGAUGACAGCACAGGAGACAACGAAGACUACGACCAUCCCUUUGUCCGCAAAUUAUACCACAG